CGAUAAGCUGCUAAAGUAUCCUUCAGAUAGAGCUCCUCCUCACUUAGGUUCUCAGAGUUUACAGUGUCAGUUGCACUUGUUCGUAGUGAGCCACUAACAUUUCCGGCUAUAGACAUAUCCUUGAAAUGUGCCACUAAAGACUUUUCUGAUAGAUAACCCGCUAGGCCAUCAUAACCCUUUGCAGAUGCAAGAUCAGCAGCAGUGCAUCCGCCAGGGUUUUCUGAAGUGGGGUCUGUGACCAAGUUUGGCUUUGCCCCUGC
rnacentral:misc_RNA from 1 species